UAAGAAGUGACUUGAUAGUUUAAACCAGCCCACAGAAAUUUGGUUACUUCACUUCCUCCUUGCUUUUAGGACAGGGCUGCCCAACUAUAUUUUUGGAGAUCUGUAGGUUUCCACUCCAACCCUAACAAAGCACACUUCAUUCAACAGCCAGCUAGAGAGCUGUUUGAGGUGCUAAUUAGUAGAAUCAGGUGUGCUAAAUUAGGGUUGAAAUUAAAACCUACUGUCCAGGAUCAGAGCUUGGCAGCCCUGCUGUAGGAGCUAUCAUGCCAGGAUCGACGGGCCGCUUGCCUUGUAACUGCAUAAGGGAAGGCAGACCUCAGCUCCACCAGUUCUUUCCUGUUUGCAUACUGUGAAUCUGAUGAGUCCACCAACUGCUGGUUCUCCACCAUUCUGGUUCUAAGAAAGACUUUGAAAUGGCAAGAGUGACUGGAUCUGGCCAGUUGUGCUCCUGUGAGGUUAGCAUACAGCUCUUAUGUAGCUAAUGAUUGCUGGCACUUGGUUUUGAGGAUGAAAUGAGCAAAUGGCUAAAAAGACAGAGGGGAAGCGGAGAGAGUAGCAGACGGAGACGGGAUCAUGAGGGGAUUUGUAUGCCUCUUGAAGCUGGUGGUGUGAGCACAGAUUCUUCUUCCAGGAAAGUCAGACCUGGCUGCGUCCAUAUGGCCAGGCCGUGCUCACUGAGCCUUUAUUUUGCCUGAGUCCUUUACAGUUUUUCAUCGGUUUCCACGGUCUGGUAAUCUCCCUGAUCUUUUAUGGGCAUUUUUACGACCUUGUUACUGCGCUGUAAUUUAGCGUAUUCCAAUGGACGGUGGCUGAACAGAGCAGCUCUUACUUUGCAUGGACUCAGAUCUGGCAAUACUAAUCCAGAGCCCGAAACCUGAGUUUGAAGUUUAACAAACUGCCCUGUCACUCAGACCAUGGCAAUCGGCAGGGGUCCCAGCAGGAUGGAUCCAUCUUCAAACGGUGUAACAGUAAAUCCCCUGUCAGCUCAGCACUUCAAUUACAGAAAACAACAGUAAUAUACUGUUCCCUUCACACCUACAGCACAGAGUACUGAGGAAUAUACGUGACAGAUGACCCAGCCCAAGUGUGGCUAUUGACCCUCACCCCAAGUCCAGCUAUGCACCAGGAAGCACUCAUUGAUCUCCUCAAAAGACAUCCAUCUACACACUUUUGGAACAUAUUGAAUCCUGAUAUGUUCAUUCACUGUGUUUUUUUUGCUUCAGCUCUGUAAAAGGGACAUUUUUGAUUUUGUGGGCUUCAGUGCACCUAAUUAAAUUGCAUGUUCUGGCUCACUGGAAAAAUGCUGAUUUGGAGAGUUGCAAAUAAGAGACUGACACGCACUUUUUUUCUAGCUGCACGCCAUGCUCAAUCCUGUGAAAUAAAAAAGUUUAGACACUUAAUUUCAUCAGUUAAAAUAACAAAUUAAAUUCAAUUUGCUCGCUUUACCUCAUUAAGUAAUUAAGUGAAUACCAUAUUCUGAUGAAUGAUUACAUCUUUUAUAAGCCUUUGGAAUAAUUGAUGGUAGAACACACUGACAUCUGAGAUUUUUUCUCAUCGCCUGGCGAUGAGUCACAUUAAACCCCUCCCACAAAAAAUAACAAGAAAACAAAAGCCUGUAUACAAUGUGCACAUGACAGACGAUAGACUGACAUUUUGACAACAGGAGAAGCAUGCUAUAAGAUCAUAGAUUCCAUGACCUGACUGACAGUGAUGCAUCGUGCCACAUUUUAAAACAACGUGCACUUAAAGACAAACGCUCACAGUCCAGCAGACUUUCACUUUCUUUGUUUUGCUGUUGAAUUUGAGCAGGUUUGAAAACCUAGGUAAUCCAGUGUAAUCCUGUUUUUGUUGCUGCUAUCCUUUUGAUUAACUAUUAAUAAUUGUUUCCUCAAACGUAUUUGGACACAAUUCAAUUUUGCCUUGUUGGCAUUUAUGUCUUUUUCCCUCAAAUGGUUUAGUUUCAAUAACCAAAUGUUCAGUUUUUCAGGAGUUUUCACCUGUCAGUCUCAUUAUAAUUUAACCAAUUACAAAUUGUUGCCACUUCCUAAAGGAAACAUUCGUUAAAUAACGCAUUACAGAAAAUAAAAGCAGUUGAUUUGAAUAAUGAAAAGAUGUGUGAUCUGAAUAUUAGACAUUUACUCUUCCUGGCAUGCAUAACCGUUUUAUGAUUCUGGCCUUAGGAAGGUAAAUGAGAUUUAUUUCAUAAAUCAGGGGAUAUGAAAAAGUGUAUUAUUAAUUUUCAGCUUGUUAAAAUUUUAAAAUUUAUAAUGACAUUCAAUUUUUUAAAACCCCUAUAUCAAAGGCCCCAUCAAUCUGUUUGUGUGGUAACGGUUCUAUGUAUUUUGCAACUUAAUUGUUGCACAUAAAUAAUUUUGCCUUUCUGCAUCGCCAAGUGGCCUGUUCAACUUGAGAACUCCAAUUUAACCCGUCUCCCUGCGAUGUCGAAGUAUAGGGAGAGAGUGCUGUUACGGGUUCUGCACACCCACUUGGUUUUGACAUUUUACGGGGAGAGGCUUUGAUCUAUGGCUGGUUUCAAAGCCCCCGCAAUGCUUCAGUCUGUGUCCUCUACCUGCUCUGAGAGUGAGGGAGUGAGGGGUUUUGGGUAGGGGCGGCAGUGACCACAGCAGGAUGGGGGGGGGGGACAGCUGAUUGAAGUUGAAAUGGAGGCACUUCUAUUCGGCACACAACAUUAGACGUGUGGGCACUGGCAGUGUGCCUGAGUGGUCAUUAGCGGCGGUCAGUGAUGUGGAGAGAAAAGAAGGCUCAUAAAAAUCAGGGCUGCCAGAUCUUUUAUCCCCCCCCCACCCCACACACACGCACCCCUCCCCCAACGACCUGCUUUUUACAUCCUCGUUAAAUCACCUUCAUUAAAUCACACCACGGCGAGGAAACUAGCUCAGGGUCAUUCUCAUGAACAUUACCUUAUAUGAUACCUGAAGGUCUAGUAGAGCAUAACGUCAAGGUUAAUUGUUUUUUAUUUUUAUUUUUCUUAUUUUUACCCCAUAUCAACAUGCACAUCUGCACAUUUUUCACACAUCAAUACUGUUUAGGUACACCAUUAUUAUUUUUCAAUUAUGUUUGAUUAACCUUUUUGAGUAUUCCAUGAUAUUUGCUUCUUGUUAUAUUCUGUAAUGUCUGCCUGUGAUUUGUGAGAGAGCAAGAAUAUGAAAUAAUAUGAAAAAAGAGAUCCCUCCAAAAUACCCAGUUUCUGUAUAUUUGUUUCUACUGGUAGCUAAUGCAUGUUCUUUUAAAUCUAGAGUUAAAUGAAACAUUAUUGGGCCAGUGAAACAUUUUCUUGUUGUUUUGGCUCUGUACUCCAUUACUUUGGAUUCGACAUAAAACAAUGAAUAAGA